CCUACGGGUGGCAGCAGUGAGGAAUAUUGGUCAAUGGGCGGGAGCCUGAACCAGCCAAGCCGCGUGAGGGAAGAAGGUACAGCGUAUCGUAAACCUCUUUUGUCAGGGAACAAAGGCGGGGACUAGUCGCCGGUGGAGGGUACCUGAAGAAAAAGCAUCGGCUAACUCCGUGCCAGCAGCCGCGGUAAUACGGAGGAUGCGAUCGUUAUCCGGAUUUAUUGGGUUUAAAGGGUGCGCAGGCGGGUUAUCAAGUCAGCGGUAAAAGCGCGGGGCUCAACUCCGGCGAGCCGUUGAAACUGGCGGGCUGGAGUUGGAGAGAAGUACGCGGAAUGCGUGGUGUAGCGGUGAAAUGCUUAGAUAUCGCGCAGAACCCCGAUUGCGAAGGCAGCGUACCGGCUCCAGACUGACGCUGAGGCACGAAAGCGUGGGUAUCGAACAGGAUUAGAUACCCCGGUAGUC
rnacentral:rRNA from 1 species